rnacentral:rRNA from 1 species
AUUGAACGCUGGCGGCAUGCCUUACACAUGCAAGUCGAACGGCAGCACGGGAGCAAUCCUGGUGGCGAGUGGCGAACGGGUGAGUAAUAUAUCGGAACGUGCCCAGUAGUGGGGGAUAACUGCUCGAAAGAGCAGCUAAUACCGCAUACGACCUAAGGGUGAAAGGGGGGGAUCGCAAGACCUCUCGCUAUUGGAGCGGCCGAUAUCAGAUUAGCUAGUUGGUGGGGUAAAGGCCUACCAAGGCAACGAUCUGUAGUUGGUCUGAGAGGACGACCAGCCAACCUGGGACUGGGACACGGCCCAGACUCCUACGGGAGGCAGCAGUGGGGAAUUUUGGACAAUGGGCGCAAGCCUGAUCCAGCAAUGCCGCGUGCAGGAAGAAGGCCUUCGGGUUGUAAACUGCUUUUGUCAGGGAAGGAAUCCUCUAGGUUAAUACCCUUGGGGGGAUGACGGUACCUGAAGAAUAAGCACCGGCUAACUACGUGCCAGCCGCCGCGGUAAUAC